rnacentral:rRNA from 1 species
GGAUUAUUGGGCGUAAGAGCUCGUAGGCGGUUUGUCGCGUCUGCCGUGAAAGUCCGGGGCUCAACUCCGGAUCUGCGGUGGGUACGGGCAGACUAAAGUGAUGUAGGGGAGACUGGAAUUCCUGGUGUAGCGGUGAAAUGCGCAGAUAUCAGGAGGAACACCGAUGGCGAAGGCAGGUCUCUGGGCAUUAACUGACGCUGAGGAGCGAAAGCAUGGGGAGCGAACAGGAUUAGAUACCCUGGUAGUCCAUGCCGUAAACGUUGGGCACUAGGUGUGGGGGACAUUCCACGUUUUCCGCGCCGUAGCUAACGCAUUAAGUGCCCCGCCUGGGGAGUACGGCCGCAAGGCUAAAACUCAAAGGAAUUGACGGGGGCCCGCACAAGCGGCGGAGCAUGCGGAUUAAUUCGAUGCAACGCGAAGAACCUUACCAAGGCUUGACAUGGACCGGACCGCCGCAUAAAUGUGGUUUCCCCUUUGGGGCCGGUUCACAGGUGGUGCAUGGUUGUCGUCAGCUCGUGUCGUGAGAUGUUGGGUUAAGUCCCGCAACGAGCGCAACCCUCGUUCUAUGUUGCCAGCGCGUUAUGGCGGGGACUCAUAGGAGACUGCCGGGGUCAACUCGGAGGAAGGUGGGGACGACGUCAAAUCAUCAUGCCCCUUAUGUCUUGUGCUUCACGCAUGCUACAAUGGCCGGUACAAAGGGGUUGCGAUACUGUGAGGUGGAGCUAAUCCCAAAAAGCCGGUCU